rnacentral:lncRNA from 1 species
ACGCAAGACCAGCUCUGAUACCAAUUGAUAAGAUCCUUCUUUGGAGGCAUGGAGACCUAGAACCAGCAGCAAAUACCUCCUAAAGGGAGGGCGGCAAGGCUUGGAGGCACUGGAAAGCUUGGGCGGCCAAGAAACCCUAGGCGCCAGGGUUUGGUUGGUUCCAAAUAAGGCAAGUGAACGAGGGUGGCUAGGGUUUCUCCAAGAGAGGGGGAAGGCAACCAGAGGAAGAAAGAGAAGAGAAAGAGAAUUG